ACACAGAGAGGAAAGGGGGUGGGGCAACCCAUCACCGGCGAACGGGUGUCUUUCCCCGUGAGCGACCUGCCCUGGUGUAGGGGGAUAGCCGGCCCAACGGCCGGGUAAUACCGCAUACGACUCGGGAGAGGCAUCUCUCCGGAGUGAAACAUUUAUGGCACCAGGAGGGGCUCGCGGCCUAUCAGCUAGUUGGCGAGGUAACGGCUCACCAAGGCUACGACGGGUAGCUGGUCUGAGAGGACGAUCAGCCACACUGGGACUGAGAUACGGCCCAGACUCCUACGGGAGGCAGCAGUGGG
rnacentral:misc_RNA from 1 species